rnacentral:rRNA from 1 species
UCUCGGAAAUAAAAAGUAAAUCUACCAGAGUACUAUGAACAAAAAUUUAAAACUCAAAGGGCUUGGCGGUGCUUUAGACUUUUCAGGGGAACCUGUCUUAUAAUCGACAAUCCACGCCACACCUAACCUUUUCUUGCACACAUUUUGUAUACCGUCGUCGUCAGGUAACUUUUAAAAAUUUUAAUAGUUAGCAGAGAAGCUUGUAAUUAAUAAACUUAAACGUCAGAUCAAGGUGCAAUUAAUGAAAAGGGCAAGAUGGGUUACAAUUAUGCAAUAAUAACACGGAAAACUAGUUGAAAUACUACUUUAAAGGAGGACUUGAAAGUAAAUUAUUUUAUAUAUACUGAUUGAAUAGAGCUCUGAAGCGUGC